rnacentral:lncRNA from 1 species
CUAGCAGAGUAAACUGUAAAGUUUAUAAAGAGGUGCUCACAUAUUUAGAUUCCUCAUGUGAGACUGGGCUAUGGUGAUGCUACAGAACAUUGGAAAAUGGCUGCCUAAAAAAAUCAUUCAUGGGAUAAUACCAGUUAUCAUACCAAUACCAAAUUGAACACAAGUUUUCAUCUCUGUGCUUAAUCAUACACAGAAAUUAAUUUCAGAUAAGGAAGGUUUAAGUGGUAAUAAAAAUAUGUAACUUAAAAGAUCAUGGAAGAAAAAGAGCAGGAGUUUGCAAGCCAAAUAUAAAAAUUAUCAAAACAUAUACACAAACUAUAUGAAAACAACACACUUCUAUUAUCAAAAAAACACACAAAAAUUGAAAUAACAAGAACACAAGUGAGAGGAUAUUGAGUCAUCUAUAAUUUUUAAAGACAACAUAUUACUAAUAAAUACAUUUAUUAAGCCCUCUACAAAUUAAUAAGAAAAAUGUUUAAAGCCAGAAACUGCAAAACUCUUGCAUACCACUUUAAAUUAGAAUUACAAAAAGCAAAUAAAAUUUUUUUUAAAUAAUCUUUGGCAAUCAGGAGAUGAAACAUCAGAUUGGUGAGACUCAGUAAGUCUGACAGUACUGACCCUGAAAACAUUAAUAAAUAUCAUAAACUAUCAUUGAGCAUCUAUUAUAAUUAUUUUGGAGAAGAGUUUUGUAUUAUACAUUACACUUAAACCUAUGUCUACGCAAAAAAAUUCUUCCUGUUGAUAUAUGCACUGCAUAAGCCAGUGAAUAAACCAGAAAACAUGGCAGUCACGUUAAGUAGCAGUGCUGUAAUUGCCAAAAACACAGAGAAAGAAGCAAGCAAACACAUGAAAACUUUUAAGAGGCGAAUAUAAAAUCGAAUUUUAUUUAUUCAUCCCACAGACUACUACCCACAAGACCCACGAGUGUAUGCUUUCAGCCCAGCAUGCAUUCCUUUGUGCUCAGCUAGGUACAAAAUGUCUUUCUCCCCACGUGGCCCACGGUCCAGCUUCCUGUCCCAACUUCAGCCAUCCAGACCUUCUAUGGAUCCCAGCGCAGCAGUGAUGCCCCUUCAAGCUCUCCCUCCACGGCCUGCAUCGGAAGCUGGAAUCCACAUCAGAAAUAAAAGGCCAGAAUUUCUCUGGAUGUUUGAGGAAAAUUGUCUUGAUGACAUGUUUUGUUUUUUUUUUAUUUCUGCUUCAUAUCAUGGAUCUGUUUUUAUUUCCAACUGUAGGUCAGUUUUGUUUUAUUAUAUCAUUGCAAAAUGAAAAUUGCAAAACAUUGUUGCUUCCUAAAAGUCAGCCUUUCAAAUGCAUCCCUUCAAAAGGUUCUCUCUUCCUCACUAACAAAUCUGUUCCUUUGGUUUUCAUCUAACUUUGAACUGUUUUCUUAUGUGAGUACGCACAAACACAUAAACACAUAUACUUCUUUCUUACAGCAAUAGAAAAUUGUAGAAAAUAUUCCUGAGUGUAUUAACACCCACUUGUUGACUUUUUACAAUCAGUUACUAGUACAGUGGGUGGGUUGAGCCUUUCUUUAUUCUUAAACUUUUUUUUAACGUUUAUUUAUUUUUGAGACAGAGAGAGACAGAGCAUGAACGGGGUAGGGUCAGAGAGAGGGAGACACAGAAUCCGAAACAGGCUCCAGGCUCUGAGCCAUCAGCACAGAGCCCGACACGGGGCUCGAACUCACGGACCUCAAGAUCAUGACCUGAGCCGAAGUCAGCCACUCAACCGACUGAGCCACCCAGGCACCCCUAGCCUUUCUUUAUUCAACAAGCUAUUUCUUGUUUGGUUUCCAGUUUGCUUUGCUUUGCUUUUGAAUUUUGUUUUGGAUUACUGCUUCAAUUAAUAAGUUCUUUCAUGCUUAAUAAUAUACUUUUAUACUUUAUUCUAUGUGGGAAAUGUGGGUUCCAUUACAUCCCGAGGGAAUCGUGAAGAUGAUGACACAUACUUUUAUUUUCCCCUUGGUUCUGGAGGGUUAUUGAAAGCCAUGCUCCCUAGAUAUUGAUGUGAUGGGUGUGUCCAGCUCAGGAUGGAGGCUGGGAUCCUGGAAAAUGUCAUUUUCCCUUUCCUUUCAAUUUCACUUUGCUCUGUGGGCAUGACCUCAGACCCAUAGUCCAUAUUCUUUUUCUUCUUUUGUUUUUUGUUUUUUGUUUUUUUGGUGUUUAUUUAUUUUGAGAGAGAGAGCUUAUGCAGGCAAGAGCAGGAGAAGGGCAGAGAGGCAAAAUCCCAAACAGGCUUCGCACUACAGUGCAGAGCCCAAUGC